AACAACAGCAGGACCACAUAGUCCAACAACAAGUAAAUCAUGACCAACUAUACUUGGAGUUGCUCUUGAGAAAGUGGAAUUAACAUUACGAACAGAGCCAGGAAUCACGUGAUGAUAUUGAUGAAGCUUUAAAUAAGCAAUUUCAAGUAAACUAUUGAUUUGCGGCUUGAAAUUGUCAAUGUCGGAUAAAUUAGGAUCUGAUUAAAGUUUCGAAAUACUAAAUUGUUCUGUCAUUUUGUAAUUUGUCGGACAAUAUGAGACAUUUGUCAAUUUGUUCUGUUAAGAGUUAUGAGAUGUCACGUUAAGUGUCACUCUUACUCUGUCGUGUCAUAUAGAGACCUUUGAUUAAUUAGUAAAAGUCUAAAAUUGAGUUCUCAUUCUACAUGUGAGUUUUAAAGUUUAUGGGA